AAUAAUAAUAAUAAUAAUAAUAAUAAAAAUCCUAACAAUUACAAUAGGGUUUCAGCACUGCGUGCUUGAACCCCUAAUUAAAGCUGCAAGCAGCAUUUACCGGGGUUCAAGCACAUUAAGGCCUCUGAGGUGGUCAGAGCCAACCUGGAUGUAUGGAUGACAGUUAAACACAUCCAAAAUGGAGAACAGGCUAACAGACAGACACGCACACUGAAAGUAAAUGAUUAGACUAAUAUAUGUAUACUCUAUAAGCAUAUGCACACACACACACACACACACACACACACACACACACACACACACACACACACACACACACAAGACACACAAAGAUACACAUAUACAUGCACAAACAUUUUGUGGCAGAUAUAGGUAUUUGAUAAAAAGUGAUAGGUGACAAUAAGCUUAUUGCAAGUCUUCUCUUUUUUUAGAGUUUAGAUGUCAUUUUCAGAUUAAACUGUAAUCAUAAUGUGGCAAAAUUGUUAAAACUGAUACAUCUGUAUGAACAAAAUGGAAAACAUCAAUUCAAUGAGAUACAAAAUGUUAUAACAGUUAAUUUAUUAAUGUUUUGGCAUGAAUUCAUAAAAACAGUACUAGCUGAAAGAGCCCAUUAGUGGUCUUCCGCUGCCAUCUAGUGGUUAUAAAUUGCAUUUACUCAAACAACACUGUGUUUUUAAACAUAACUGUUAAAGUGUUGUUGUUGGGUUUUUUUGCCCUAUCUCUCUUAAAUGUUGCAUGCUUGUUUAGAAUGAAAUUAUGCAUUACUUUACACAGUUUUGAUAAUUUGUGGGAUUUCUGUUUGUAUUAAUAGGUCUUUGUGCCUCUGGGGUGGUCUCGGCCAACCAGGAUGUAUGGAUGACAUUUAAAUACAUCCAAAAGACAGACACACACACACUGAAAUUAAAUGAUUAAACUAGUUUUUAAGAGUUUAGAUGUCAUUCAGGUUUCACUGUAAUCACAAUG